rnacentral:rRNA from 1 species
GAUGAACGCUGGCGGCGUGCCUAAUACAUGCAAGUCGAGCGAACAGAUGAGGAGCCUGCUCCUCUGACGUUAGCGGCGGACGGGUGAGUAACACGUGGAUAACCUACCUAUAAGACUGGGAUAACUUCGGGAAACCGGAGCUAAUACCGGAUAAUAUAUUGAACCGCAUGGUUCAAUAGUGAAAGACGGUUUUGCUGUCACUUAUAGAUGGAUCCGCGCCGCAUUAGCUAGUUGGUAAGGUAACGGCUUACCAAGGCAACGAUGCGUAGCCGACCUGAGAGGGUGAUCGGCCACACUGGAACUGAGACACGGUCCAGACUCCUACGGGAGGCAGCAGUAGGGAAUCUUCCGCAAAGGGCGAAAGCCUGACGGAGCAACGCCGCGUGAGUGAUGAAGGUCUUCGGAUCGUAAAACUCUGUUAUUAGGGAAGAACAAAUGUGUAAGUAACUAUGCACGUCUUGACGGUACCUAAUCAGAAAGCCACGGCUAACUACGUG